CGAGUUCCCGUACGAUCACUGAAGUUAAGCAACGUCCAGCCUGGUUAGUACCUAGAUGGGUAACCGCUUAGGAAUACCAGGUGCUGUAAG